rnacentral:lncRNA from 10 species
CAAUAGAUAGAUCAUCUAGACAGAAAAUCAAUAUGAAAAUAUUGGACUGAAACUACACUUUUGGUCAAAUGGACCUAACUGACACAUACAGAACAUUCCAUCCAACAGCAGCAGAAUGCACAUUUUUCUGAAGUGCACAUAAAACAUUCUUCGAGAUAGAUACUAUGUUAGGUCACAAAACAAGUUGUAAAAAUGUAAAAAAAUUGAAAUCAUAUCAAAUAUAUUUUCUGACCACAAUGCUAUAAAACUAGAAACCAGUAACGGGAAUUUUGAAAGAUUCACAAAUACAUGAAAAUUAAAUAACAUGCUUCUGAACAACCAAUGGGUCAAAGAAGAAAUUAGAAGAGAAAUUUUAAAAUAUUUUGAAACACAAAAAUUGACACACAACAUACCAAAUCUUCUAGGACACAACAAAAUUGGUUCCAAGAGAAAACUUUAUAGCAGUAAGUAAUUACAUCCAAAAGAGGAAAGAUUUCUAAUAAACAACCUAACAUUAUAUCUUAAGGAACUAGAAAAAGAACAAACUAAGCCCAAAAAGUUAGUAAGAGGAAGGAAAUAGCAAGGAUCAGAGUAGAAAUAAAUGAAAUAGAGACUAGAUAAACAAUAGAAAAGAUCCACAAAACUGAGUUGUUUUUUCUAAAAAGAUAAACAAAAUUGAUCAACUUUCACCUUUUUAUUUUUACAGAAGCAAGAGAGAAAUAAAAGAAUAAUAGAUCUACAAAACAAAGAAAAGACUCACAUAAAUAAAGAAGACAUUGCAACUGAUACCACAGAAGGAAUCAUGAACCUAUUAGGAACAAUUACAUGCCAACAAAUUAGAUAACCUAGAAAAAAUGGAUAAAUUUCUAGACAAAUUCAAUUGACCAAGACUAAACUAUGAAGAAGUAGAAAAUCUGCACAGACUAAUAAUGAGUAAGAAUAUUGAAUAAAUGAUAUAAUGUCUCCCAUUAAAGAAAAGCCCAGAAAAUGAUGGCUUCCCUGUUAAAUUCUACCAAAUAUUUAAAGAAUUAGCACCAAAUAUUCUCAUUUUUUCCCAAAAAUUGAAGAGGAGAGAAUACUUUCAAAUUUAUUUUUCGCAGCCAAUAUUACCCUAUUAUCAAAGCCAGACAAGAACACCACAGGAAAAGAAAGUGCAGGCAAUAUCCUUGAGGAACAUAGAUGCAAAAAUUCUCAAUAAAAUACUAGUAAACAAAAUUCAAGAGCACAUUAAAAAGACAAUUCAUGAUAAUCAAGUGGGACUUAUCCCUGGGAUGCAAGGAUUGUUUGGCUUAUGCAAAGCUAUAAAUGUGAUACCACAUUAACAAAUAAAGGGCAAAAAAAAAUCAUCUCAAUAAAUGCAGAAAAAAAAGCACAAUUCAACAUCCUUUUAUGCUUAAAAGCUCUCAACAAAUUAGCUAUAGAAGAAAUGUACUUCAAUGCAAUAAAAGCCAUAUAUGAAAAGCCCACAGCUAACAUGAUACUCAAUGGUGAAAAGUUGAAAACGUUUCUUCCAAGAUCAGGAACAAGACAAGGAUGCCCACUCUUGCCAUUUCUAUUCAACAUAGUACUGGGAGUGGUAGCCAGAGCAAUUAGACAAGAGAAAUAAAUGAAACAUAUCCAAAUUAGAAAGGAGGAAGUUAAAUUGUCCCUGUUUGCAAGUGAAAUAACCUGAUAUAUGGAAAAUCCUAAAGACUCCACCAAAAAGCUGUUCAAACUAAUAAAAGAAUUCAGUAAAGUGGCAGGAUGCAAAAUUAACAUGAAAAAUCUGUAGCACUUCUAUACACUAGCAAUAAACUAUCUAAAAAGUAAAAUCAUGAAAACAAUCCCAUUUAUAGUAGCUACACAUGCAUGCACAUGAAAGCACACACACACACAAACAAGGAACAAGACAAGGGUGCCCAUUCUUGCCAUUUCUAUUCAACAUAGUACUGGAAAUAGUAGCCAGAGCAAUUAGACAAGAGAAAUGAAUGAAACGUAUCCAAAUUAGAAAGGAAAAAGUUAAAUUGUCCCUGUUUGCAGGUGAAAUAACCUGAAAUAUAGAAAAUCCUAAAGACUCCACCAAAAAGCUGUUUGAACUAAUAAUAGAAUUCAGUAAAGUGGCAGGAUGCAAAAUUAACAUGAAAAAUCAGUAGCACUUCUAUACACUAGCAAUAAACUAUCUAAAAAGUAAAUCAUGAAAACAAUCCCAUUUAUAGUAGCUACACAUGCAUGCACAUGCAAGCGCACACACACACAAACACCUGGGUACAAAUUUAGCCAAAGAGGUGAAAAACAUAUAAACUGAAAACUAUAAGACAUUGAAAGAAAUUGAAGAAGAUAAAUAAAUGCAAAGAUAUACCAUGUUCAUGGAUUAGAAAAAUUAUUAUUGUUAAAAUGUGUAUACUACUGAAAGCAAUCUACAGAAUCAAUGCAAUCUCUAUCAAAAUUACAAUGACAUUUUUCACAUAAAUAGAAAAAACAAUUAUAAAAUUUUUAUGGAACCACAAAAGGCCUUGAACAAUAAAAAAAUCUUGAGCAAAAAGAAUAAAGAUUGAGGCAUCACACUAUCUCACUUCAAAAUAUCCUACAAAGCUGUAGUAAUCAAAAGAUCAUAGUAUUAGCAUUAAAAACAGACACAUAGACCAGUGCAACAGAAUAGAGAGCCCAGAAGCAAACCCACGCAUUUACAGUCAAUUGACUUUUCAACAAAGGAGCCAAGAACAUACAAUAGGGAAAGGACAAUCUCUUCAAUAAAUGAUGUUGAGACAAUUGGAUAUCCACAUGCAGAAGAAUGAAAUUAGACCAUCACCUCACACCAUAUACAAAAAUCAUGUAAAAAUGGUUUAAAGACUUAAAGACCUGAAACUGUACAACUACUAGCUAAAAGCAUAUGGACAAAACUCUACAACAUUGGUGUGAGCAAUAAUUUUUUGGAUAUGACCUCAAAACUGUAGGCAAAAAUAGACAAAUGGGAUUACAGGAAGUUAAAAAGUUUCUGCAUGGCAAAGGCAACAGGCAACAGAGAAAAAGAUAACCUAUGAAAUGGAAGAAAAUAUAUGCAAACCGUACAUCUGAUAAGGAGUUAAUAUCCAAAAUAUAUAAAAAACUGAAAUAAUAUAAGGAAGACAAAUGGCCUCAUUUAAGAAUAGGCAAAGGACCUGAAGACAUUUUUCAAAAGAGGACAUACAAAUGGCUAACAUGAAUAUGAAUAAAUGCUCAACAUCACUAAUCAUCAAGAAAAUGCAAACUAAAACUACAAUGAGAUAUCACCUCUCACUUGUUAGAAUGGCUAUUAUCAAAUAGACAAAAUAUAACUAGUACUGUUGAGAAUGUGGAGAAUAGGUGACUCUCUCACAGUGUUGGUGAGACUAUGUACACCAGACCAUGUAACUGAAAUUACUUCAGCCACAAUGGAAAGCAAUAUGAAGGUUCCUUUAAAAAUUAAAAUUAGAAUAACCAUAUGAUCCAGCAAUCCCUCCACUGGGUAUGUAUGAAAUUAAAUCACGAAUCAAAAAGGAAACUAAAUCGGUGUGUAUAGCUACACUGUCAUGUUCUUUGCAGCAUUAUUCACAAUAGCCAAGGUAAAGAAUCAAACUAAAAAUGUCCAUCAAGAGAUGAAUGAAUAAAGAAAAUAUAGUAUAUAUACAGAAUAAAAUACUGUUCAACCUUAAAAAUCAAGGAAAUCCUGUUUUGACAAGAUGUAUGAAUCUAGAAGACAUUAUGUUAAGUGAAAUAAGCCAGAUACAGAAGGACAAAUACCACAUGAUCUCAUUUACAGGUGGAAUCUUAAAAAGUUAAACUCAUAGAAGCAGAAAGUAGAAUGGUGGUUACCAGGGACUGAGUUUUGGGGUGGUUGGAAAGAUGCUGGUCAAAGAAUAUAAAAUUUCAGAUAGACGGGAGGAAUAAGUUCAAGAGCUCUUUUAUGCAACAUGGUGACUAUAGUUAAUAACAAUGUACUGUAUUCUUGGAAAAUUAGUAAAAGAACAGAUUUUAAGUGUUCUUACCAUAAAAAAUGAUAUAUAAGUUAAUGUUUAGGUUGCUCUGUCUAUGGAGUAGCCAUUCUUUUGUUUCUUCACUUCUCUAAUAAACUUGCUUUCACUUAAAAAAAAAGUUAAUGCUUACGUUAAUUAGAUCAAAGUAACCAUUCUGCAAUGUAUGCAUAUUUCAAAGCAUCAUGUUGUAAAUGACAAAUAUAUAUACUUUGUAUUUGUCAAUUUAAAAAAAUAAUUAAUUAAUUUUAAAAAAGAGAAACUGGCAGGACAUCCAGAAUCCUUCCUUUGUUUGUGUACUAGACCAAAUUCCCAGAAGAACUGUAGAGAUUUAAUAAAGGAUAUCUGAAUAAAGUUGGAGAUGGAACUACUGUACUAAACAUAGGGAUGUUAAGAAAACUAGAAGUAUUUGGGAGUACUGAGGAUAAUUGGGAUUUUUGUACUCUUAACUAACCUCACUGUUGCUUUCUCUCAUCUGUGCCAAAGCAUUAGCCAGCCUUUACAUCAUUUUUAUGUGUAAAAAUUAUGUACUGCUGAAAUAAUAGUGCAUAUUUAUUAAGUUUUUAUUAUUACAUGACUUUUUAUAUUAAAGGUGAUAACUACUUCAUUAUUUUAAAAUCUGCUUACCUAUUUAUCACUGAUUCUUUUUUGAAAAUGUUCUCACAGAUAUGUCAAACAUUAGGCAACACUAUUCCAAAGGCUCAAUUACUUCAAAUCAUCUAUCAAUCCCCUGGUGUUCCAUUUUUGUUUUGUUUGCUUGUUCUAAUUGAAGAUCUGACUCUGACAGAUCUUUAUUUCUUGCUUCAAUCUAGACUAUUAGGUUUUUAGGGUUAAGUCACAGUAGUCAUGCUGGAAUGUCCCUUUUUUCCUCUCUUGUAUAGAAGACAAAGUUUCUCAAAUCCCCUGUCUCCCUUGUUCCUGAUUUACUACUUCAUUUUUCAUGAAUUAUAUAUCGUGGUAGCUUCCAAGGAAAGAGUAAUAGGAAGCAUGUUUUUGUGAAUUAUUGCAGAUCUGAAAAUGUCUUUAUUCAAUCCUCACAUUUCAGUGAUACUAUACCUUGCUUGGGUAUAAAAUUAUAGGCUGAAAAUAAUUUUCAAUCAGAAUUUUUAAUACUAUUGUUAUAUAUCUUUCGGUUUUUCGUGUUACUAGUCUAAUAUUUAUGUUGUGAGUUUUAAAAAAUCUGCCCUUUAAACCCCGGUCUCCUGAAACUUCAUGAUAAUAUGCCUUUGAAUAUUAUAUUAUUUCAUUAAUUUUUUCUGGGAAUUCAAUGGGAUCUUUUAAGUUAAAGACAUAAGCCCUUACACUUUGGAGAUAUUUUUGAUCAUAUCUUGAUCAUUUUCUUUCCUCUUUUUAUACUCUCUUUCUCUCUCUAAAAUUUGUACUUGUUGGAUGUCGAACCACCUACAUUAAUCUAUAUUUAUAAUUUCUUUGUUCUUAUUUUCCACAUAGUUUAUAGAUUUUCCUGACUUCUAAUGAUUUAUUUUUUACUGUAAUUUACUCUAUUUUGCAGUGCCCUUUUUUCUCUGAUUGCUUUUUAAAAAUAGUUCCCUCUUCUUGUUUUAUAUAUGUAUUAUUUGACCUGUUCAUAUGUUUUAAUUGGGUCCCAUUUUCAUAAAUAUUUUAGUCACUCUUUGUCAUGAGAAAGAAUUUUGUAUCACAUACAUUACCUCUUCAGGAAACAUCUGUAUAUACUAUCAAAUUACAAAACACUUACUAGAAGCUCUGGGUGGUGGGGGAGAUGCUUGAGGUGUAGGACAAGGUCCAACUAGUUGACUUUACUUAGAGUGAACUCCUAUACAUCUCAAGCAACUCCUAAAUCUCUAGAGGUCUAUAUCUGGGGCCUUUCAAAAACAAUUUUUACACAGAUUAUCCUCCAAUUUUCUUCAGGAAAAAUUAAACAUGGCAAUAAGUAUUCUCAAAACAGAGCAGAGGAAAGGGCUGUGGGUAGUAUAGGGGAUGUGUGUAGAACAAUUUAAUCACCUUGUUCUACCCUAAACCAAUUUCUUGGUGUUCACUGCUUCCUGAAUCAACUUCUCCAGAGACUAGACUUCUCUUUUCUCUUAGUGUGUAUUUGUGGAGGGGUAAAGAGAUUCUCAAACAGUCUCUGAGUGUUCAGUCUUAAACUGACUUCUGCUUUCCAGGUAACCUGUUUCCCCACAAUCAGAGACUCUCAGGGGAUUUGUGAGAUACUAAAUGAACAUGAUGCAAAAUGAACAACACAUAAGUUUCUGAGAGAAAAGUCCUCAUGCUGAGAAAGUUAAGAAAUCCUUAGUAACACGGGGUUCUGAGUGAAGAAUUACUAAAGGAGAUUCUAGAAAUCCUUGGUAGAAUCUGAACUGUCAAAGGACUAAAUUGAACAAUUACUGCUCUCCCACUAUUGCAAAGCCAUUUCCUAUAGUUGCUGCCACAAGCUAGAACUUCAUCCUGGGCAUGAUUCAACCCCUAAUUUGCAAAUUUAUAACAGCUCUUGGCUACUAAGCAUGGUUUUCUUCUAUAGACCAUACUUCAAUAAAAUACUGUUACAAAUAACAGAUGGACAAUGCAUUCAUUUGUAGAUGGUUCCUUGUAAUAAUAAUUUAUUAACUUUUUUCUUUCUUAGGGCAGAAGUAGCAAACAUUAAACUAAAUUGCCUAUAGCAUAAAUGGAAGGAACUUUUUAAGCAGGUGGGAAUUUAUUUAGACUUCUUCAUUUAAUGUGGC